GACGAACGCUGGCGGCGUGCUUAACACAUGCAAGUCGAACGGAAAGGCCCUGCUUUUGUGGGGUGCUCGAGUGGCGAACGGGUGAGUAACACGUGAGUAACCUGCCUUUGACUUUGGGAUAACUUCAGGAAACGGGGGCUAAUACCGGAUAGGAGCUCCUGCUGCAUGGUGGGGGUUGGAAAGUUUCGGCGGUUGGGGAUGGACUCGCGGCUUAUCAGCUUGUUGGUGGGGUAGUGGCUUACCAAGGCUUUGACGGGUAGCCGGCCUGAGAGGGUGACAGGGCACAUUGGGCCUCGGGUGGGGGCCAGAGUGAUACGGGGGGAAGCGGUGGAGAACAUUGCGAGCUGGGCCGAAGGCAGAUGGAGGAAUGUCGGGUCGGAGAUGACGGCUUUCGGGUUGGAACCCGCUUUCGCCUGUAACGAAGCGUGAGUGACGGUAAUGGGUCAAGAAGCAACGGCUAACUACGUG
rnacentral:rRNA from 1 species